rnacentral:rRNA from 1 species
CAAUAGCGUAUAUUUAAGUUGCUGCAGUUAAAAAGCUCGUAGUUGGAUUUCGGGUGGGAAUGGCCGGUCCGCCGUUUCGGUGUGCACUUGCUACGCCCACCUUGCUGCCGGGGACGUGCUCUUGAGUUCACGCUCGGGACACGGAGUCGGCGAGGUUACUUUGAGUAAAUUAGAGUGGUCAAAGCAGGCCUACGCUCUGAAUACAUUAGCAUGGAAUAACACGAUAGGACUCUGGCCUAUCUUGUUGGUCUGUAGGACCGGAGUAAUGAUUAAGAGGGACAGUCGGGGGCAUUCGUAUUUCAUUGUCAGAGGUGAAAUUCUUGGAUUUAUGAAAGACGAACUACUGCGAAAGCAUUUGCCAAGGAUGUUUUCAUUAA